rnacentral:rRNA from 1 species
AUACGGAGGAUCCGAGCGUUAUCCGGAUUUAUUGGGUUUAAAGGGAGCGUAGGCGGAUUAUUAAGUCAGUUGUGAAAGUUUGCGGCUCAACCGUAAAAUUGCAGUUGAUACUGGUAGUCUUGAGUGCAGCAGAGGUAGGCGGAAUUCGUGGUGUAGCGGUGAAAUGCUUAGAUAUCACGAAGAACUCCGAUUGCGAAGGCAGCUUACUGGACUGUAACUGACGCUGAUGCUCGAAAGUGUGGGUAUCAAACAGGAUUAGAUACCCUGGUAGUCCACACAGUAAACGAUGAAUACUCGCUGUUUGCGAUAUACAGCAAGCGGCCAAGCGAAAGCAUUAAGUAUCCCACCUGGGGAGUACGCCGGCAACGGUGAAACUCAAAGGAAUUGACGGGG